UAGUUCAGACAUAUACUUAGUUUAGGAUUAGAAUGAAUUAUUAUUAUUAGGGUUUGUCUUCUUGUCUUUCUUCUUUGCUUCCCACUCUCCAAGUUUCCACAAAACACACCCAAACAUGGCCGGCAUCCAUUUCCCUCCUCCACAUUCCACGCUACAAACCCCCACAGCACUGAUACGCCGGCACAAUCGGCUGCAUUUAUAGCAUCUCCAUACCAGUAAAACCCUUCUUGCGAUUCUCCUUCUCACACCUCAAACAAUACCCUUCUUAAGCCCUCGAAUACUCGUACAGAUUUUCUCCCUCCAACAAAGUCAAAGCCGCCGAAGAAGAGACGGUGCAGUUCCGUCCUCCCACCGCCAAAAUACCCUCACUCUACCCCACCAUCAAACCAUUUCCCUUCUCCUCUGUUCACUUUUCUGAGGAAAAAAGUCAAGAAAAGCAGGUGAAGUUCUUCGUGGUAUGGCCAACUCAAGGCGUUGAAUGUGAUGGUGUCCCGUUUCAGGGCAGCACCCGUGGGAGAAGCAGCGGCGGAUGUAGGUACAAAUCCAAGAAAGGAAAACCCCACUGCCCUCGAUAAAGCGAUCAUUUGAACCAAAGUUAUCUUUUGUUUGCAAGCUGUUGACAAGGUUUCUUCAUAGUCUAUGGAUGCCAGCCAAAAGGAGUCUCAAAGCAAAUCAGUUCAAGGGUUUGGCGGUUCUCAAUUUGGAUAUACCUAAGGCAUCUGGAAAUAACAAGUGCAUGGUCUGAAUAAAUUCUAUUAAGAUGCGUAACAAGUGAUUGUGGCCAUCUUUGAAUCCAUCCAUAAUUUGUAUAGGCUCGGUCAAAAAGCCGCUUCUUAAUUCUAAACAAUAUUUCCCUAUUGUUCUAUCAAGUGAACCAAUCUCCACUAAAAUCCACUCCACACAUAUUCAAUUGUUCUAAGGCUAUCCUGAAGGUACGAAGUUGCCCUUGUGUCGUCA